UUUUAGGUGGUAAGAAUCUAACACGUGCAUGCAAACUUCCCGCUUGUAAGACCCAUGUGCUAUGAGAAAUUAUAUCCUACAGCAUUGGUAGCAAGUGGUAAUGCAUAAUUUUGAUCAUAUGUGCUUGAUUUUAUAAAUCAAACAUCGAGAUAAAUAUUUGAUGAAUGUAGCCCAUGGAUAUGAGCAUUUAUAGUUGCCAUUGUGUAUGCGGAGUAGGAUACAAUUCCUCCUAUCCCAUUUGGUUGAAUGCUCUAUAUAUUAUGCUAUAAACAUUGUUGCACCA
rnacentral:lncRNA from 1 species